GAGGGUUAGACAGCUCGGUAAUUUAGGAAUCACUAGCAAGAGAGGUGCAGAGGUCAGAAGUCAGAGAGGGGCUGGCGGGGGGGAGAUGUCACCCCUGCUCUCUGGUGAGACCCCCGUCUCCUCCCAGAGCCCACCUCUUGCCACCAUCUGCAGACCAGGCCUCCGUGGGGCUGGGAAGGUAGGGACCAGGGCUGGGGCUGGGCAGCGCUGUGUACAGCUAGGAGGAGAACAUGUGUUUUAAUCAUGCCCUGAAAAAGAACUCAAGAUGCAGAUGCAGGCCUCCAAUUUUCUUCUCCGGAAACUUCGCGAGGAAAGGCUAGAUCCUCCUGAGAAGCCGGCUGAGGGCCUGCACAAUCCAGCUCAGCACUUAGCUCCAAAUGCCGCAAAUGGCUCGACUCCUUCAAGAUGAGAAGCUCACUCAGGUCCCUUCCUGGAGCAAUCAGGACCACCGGAAAACCACAAGAGGGUUCUGCUGCUUUUCCAUAGUUAGGAAAAGUGCUUUGCUCAGCCCACAGGAAUGGACAUUUUUGGAAAUUCCAUUCGUGGAAGGUUAGCUCUAGAAGGGUCUUGUGGUGCAACCUUCUCAUUUUGCAGAUGGGGACAGGAACAGAGGUGCACCCGCCAGCCUCUGCUGGUUGGGAGCAGAAAUGAA